GUGUGUAUUAUAUAAUUUCCAUACCCAGCGCAAGCAGAAUGAUGUAUAUAUAUAUAUAUAUAUACUUAAAAUCUGUUAGCUUUAUGAUUAAAUGUUUUGCACAAUAUAAUUUUAGGCUAUGGAAUCAUCAGGGGUAUUGCAACUAUAUAGGAGAUCAAUUGAGAAGCGGAAGUUACGGUACAUUCCAUUUAUUGGUGAUGGCGAUUCCUCCUCCUACAAUGGAGUUUGCAUAGAGAGACCAUAUGGAGAAACAAUAUUUAUUCCCAAAGUUGAUUGUAUAGCUCAUGUAACCAAAAGAAUGGGAACAAAUUUGAGAUCACUCGUCCGUGACUAUAAAGGUAAAUAUUGCACACUUAUACUGUCAACCUAAAAACGCAAAUUCUGUUUUCGUUUGAAACAUGCACGUAUGCAUGUUGAGAUCAGGCAUGCACUUUUAUGACAGCACUAACGAUACAGUUUGAACUUUGUAAUGAAACUUCAGCUUCUCAAAUCGUAAGAUGUACUGAGUCAUUUCAUAGAUCAAACGUGCACGUUUUACCCGCCAAACAUGUAUGUUUCAAAAUAAACUAACGCGAAAAAUAGUGUGCGUUUUACGGUUGAUUGCAAAUGACAAACAUAUGUCGUAUAAAUAAAAAGUUAACUCGUCUUGAAUAGCCUAAUCUCAGUGCACGUACGUCAUAAAGAAAUAGUUUCAACAUUUAUAUUUAUUCUAUUUUCAUUUAUAAGGAAAAAAACUUGCAGAUGGGAAGGGUUUGAGUGGUGCUGGUAGAUUGACCAUAGCCCGGAUCGAUGCUAUCCAAAGUUUUUACGGCCUAUGUAUUCGCCAAAAUAAAGGCGAUUCAAAGGCAAUGGCUAAGGUUACCAAAGCUAUAAUGUAUCAUUAUGCCAGUACCGAGGAGAACCCCCAGCAUACCUUUUGUCCAGUUGGAAAGGAUUCGUGGUGCUCGUACCAAAGGGAUGUCGCCAAUAAUACAACAUUCCACAAACCUGUAAAGAAUCCGUUCCCCCCUGCCAUUAUCGAAGUGAUCAAACCAGUUUUCGAUCGCUUCGGUGAUGCAAACUUUCUUGCUGGUUGUGGAAGAUGUGCAACUCAAAACCCAAAUGAGGCUUUACAUCAUGUUAUUUGGGGGUUGCCCCUAAAGAGCAGUACACAUCUCCCCGCGAAACAAGCUUAGCUGUUAGUCUUGGCUGUUUGUUGUUCAACAGUGGAAUGGAAAUUACAUACUCGCAAUUGCUGCCAAAGAUAGGGUUGGAUGUUGAUGAGAAAAUGGUGAAUGAAUGGAAGAAAGUGGAUAAGAAAAGAAUAGACACAGCAGAGUACAAAGAGAAGUCAGCUGUUAAGGAACGAAGAAAGAAAUAUAAAAGGCAAAGGGCAAACAAAGCUGAUGCAUUUGUGCAUAAAGAGGGGAUUCAGUACAAGUCACAAGAGUUCUAUGGUGAUGGUCGGAAAAGUGUGCCAGCUGCAGCAGCAGCAAAGGAAAACAGAAAGAGCAAAACAAAGAGAAAACGUAAAAAGAAGAGCUAGAAUAAAGAUUAGAACACAAUAUAAAAACAGUUAUGAAUCUUAUGAUAGUCGCUGGCAGGAAUCAAACCUGUGUCCCGGUGCACUGCUCUAACCAACUGAGCUAAAGAAUACAGUAAAUAUGUAUCUACAGUACAUGAAGUUGAACUUGCGGCUACAGCUCGACAAAAGUUGUCGAGCUCUAACCGCAAGUUUAUGAUGUGUAUAUAUACUAAGGUGACGCUAAUAGACCUUUCCCCUUUUGAGUGAAACUUUGAUCUAGACAAAUCUGGACAAAAGUCUGGACCAAAAUUUCAUCACAGCUUGAAAGAGCAUCACAAAAUUAGUAAAGAAAAAGCAAGAGCAUCACAAAGUUUCGUUGUGAAAUGCGGAUAAUAUAGCCUUGCGAAGUUUGCCGUUUUUCAGUCAUUUUGCAUUACAUAUGGGAAAUUGAUAAUCAGUUUGAUCAUCUGAUUACAAUUUCCCAUUUGUAAUGCAAAAUGACUGAAAAACGGCAAACUUCGCAAGGCUAUAUUAUCCGCAUUUUACAACAUUUUGCAACGAAACUUUGGACUAUAUUACUAAUUUUGUGAUGCUCUUUCAAGCUGUGAUGAAAUUUUUGUCCAGACUUGUCUAGAUCAAAAUUUCACUCAUAAGGGGAAAGGUCUAUUAUGGAAGGUGUAUGGUACAUUGAACAUUAUAUUAUGAAUGUAUAAUAGAAUCCACACUAUAUUUGGAGUAAAAUACUUUUUUAUCUGUAAUUAUCACUACCUGGGUACUACGAGAACAUUGUAAAAAUACAAACAUUUCAAUAAUUAUAUCUAAUUAUUUUGUACUAUAUGUAAAGUUAAUGAUGAAUGUACACAAUUUGUAAUUAUAAAAUACAAAUACAAUAAUAUUUUAUGCAUGUGGUAAAUUCAUUACUUCGCAGAAAACCUUCAGAGUAACAGGGAAUGCAUCCUAUAAAAUAAAUCAUAAAGCGUCGUGAAUUAUUUUGAAACAUGUAUAGGUAGGCUAGAGGAAAUCGAAUUCUAAUAAAUUAAAAAUACAAGUACAAGAUCAAGUGACAAAGAUAAAAUAAUAACGCUAGUGAGUAGUUGAAUAUCCAUAUCCAAGAAAUAUGUUUAGCCCGUAUAUGUGCUACGCCAGCCAAAUAUAUAUGUAAUAUAGCGCGGACACAGUAACUGCAUGGUACAUUUCCG